UAAUACCGGAUAGAUCAAAGAUACUGGAAUGUUCCUUGAUCUAAAGCUCCGGCGUCCAAGGAUGGAUCUGCGGCCUAUCAGGUAGUAGUGGGUGUAACGUACCUACUAGCCUACGACGGGUACGGGUUGUGAGAGCAAGAGCCCGGAGAUGGAUUCUGAGACAUGAAUCCAGGCCCUACGGGGCGCAGCAGGCGCGAAAUCUUUACAAUGCAGGAAACUGCGAUAAGGGGACCCCGAGUGCCAGCAUCUAAUGCUGGCUGUCCAGCUGUGUAAAUAGCAGUUGUUAGCAAGGGCCGGGCAAGACCGGUGCCAGCCGCCGCGGUAACACCGGCGGCCCGAGUGGUAACCGAUUUUAUUGGGUUUAAAGGGUCCGUAGCCGGCCUGCUAAGUCUCUUGGGAAAUCUGGCGGCUCAAUCGUCAGGCGUCC
rnacentral:rRNA from 1 species